rnacentral:tRNA from 1 species
AGUAGAGUAAGCUAAACAAGCUAUUGGGCCCAUACCCCAAAAAUGUUGGUAAAACACCUUCCCCUACUA